AUUUGGAGUCUUGGGAUGCUGGAGUCUCGAGUUUAAACUAGGGGAGGUAUGGUGGCUUUGGCUCUCUGUUUCCAAGACACUCAGGAUCUGUCUUUGUCUGGGUGGAAAGAUCAUGCCCCACAAACAAGCACCACCGGCUAAAGCCGCCCCACCCGCUAAAGCCGCCCCACCCGCUAAAGACGCCCCACCGGCUAAAGAUGCUCCACACGCUAAAGAUGCUCCACACGCUAAAGACGCCCCACCCGCUAAAGAUGCUCCACACGCUAAAGACGCCCCACCCGCUGCAGGCGCCCCGCCAGCUAAAGACGCCCCACCUGCUGGAGCCCCGCCUGCUGCAGAUGCCCCUCAGAAGCCACCAGAGAAAACACAGACACCUGAAGAACUGGCAUUGUAUGCCCCGACUUACAAAUGUUUCACCAUCCUGGCCGUAAUUCUUUUCCCUCCCCUGGGAUUAAUAGCUAUGUUCUUCAGUUACAAGACUUUGCAGGCCAACAAGAACAGCGAAUGGGAAGAAGCUUAUGUCAAGUCAGGCCAAACUGUUUGGAUGGAUCUAUUUGCCAUACUCAUUGGUUUAGGCAUCAUUUAUGUCUAUACGCUAUUUAUGUGAAGGCCAUGCCAAGUAGUCCAUGAGUCCACCUCAAGUAGGACUUACCCACCAAGACCCUAACCAUCCAAAUCAGCCACCAUGCAAGAACCAACAGCUAACACAUCUUCUAGCCAGAAAACCUAACAGCCAAGGAACUCAACAUCCAAGCAACCCACUAGCCCAAGGAUAUCAUGCUACUUCAUCCUCUUGGCCACUAGAGCCAUCUUCAUCCAAAUUGAGGGUCCUCACUUUCAUGCCUUAGAUGUGCUUAGCUGCAUGAUACCGGGAUGCUCUUCCAGGAAAAAAAAAAAUUAAACCAAUAAAAAUGAAGGCAAUGUUCCAGCUUCUCA